CUCUGACGUGAUGAGUUCUCAUUACCGCCCCAGUCUGAUGUAAAGCUGACUGAUUGGUUACCCCUCUGAUCAAGG